UUGUGUUGGCAGCAGCUUGGAGGCUUGUGGGCUGAGGAGAAGUCUGAUCCAAGCUUUGGAAUUCGGCUAAUUGGAGUUGCUGAACAACUAGAGGAAGGUCUCUAAUUAAGUGCUAGUUAACCUGAAUUGCAAGCUGAGUGUUGCUAUUGGUGUUGCCGAAAGGUAGAGGUGGAUCAUUUGAAGCUGUGGGCAAGUUAAUUUCGCAGCAAACUGAGAGUUAGAGCUGAAAGAGAAUUGAGUUGAGCACACUUGAGGGGAUCUUCGAAUUCAG